GAAAAUCUAUUUUCUAUAAAAGGAAAUAAUAAAUAAAUAAGUUAAAUAAAUAACACAAGUAAAGGUGUCAUCAUGUCAUCUGGGGCUUUGUGUUUGCUUAUUCUAUGUUAACAAAACCUAUUUCAUAAAAUGUUCUAUUAAACUAUACUGUUUUCCUCAAUUCAUUAAAAGAAGAAGAAGAAGAAGAAGAAGAAGAAGAAGAAGAAGAAGAAUUAUUAAAGUCAGGACCAGAUGAUGGCUUGGUCUCCUAAGUUAAGAAAUUGGGAAUUAAUAUAGCUUCCUUUAUCAUCAUCCGUUGCUUUAUAAGUUCCAUCCUGGUAGUCCCCUCUUCUCUGGGGAUGUGUGUUCUACAGUUUGAAUGACUGGAAUGGGGACACCCAACUAACCAGUCCUCUUCUCCUGGGCAAGCACUGGCACAGAGCCAUAAGUGUGGCUACUCAUCAAAGCCUUUGUCUACCACUCCAGGCAACUGAACUUCUCACUGUCAGGGCAUUUGGCUCAUUUGGGGGUGAUGCCAAACAGCAGACUAGAGGAAUUCUCAGAAAGGAGAACUCCAAAGGCAAGUGGGUAUUUUUGAAUUUGAUGGGUAUAUUGUAUAUUAUAUUAUUAUAUUAAUGUGCAUGCAUAUUAUCAGUGUAUGCAGAGCCGUUCAAAUGCUGUUUCAGAAAACCGAACAUGGAAGACAUCUUCAAGGUGGUCAACCCUUCAUACCUAGAGAAUCCCUGUUCUCACUGAAAAGAUACUACUUAGCACUUUGCAGACAUUUUCUGGUUGCACUGGGAGUCUCCUUGCUUCUGUGUUGACUUAACUUUACCACCACCCAUUGCUGGGACAGCUUAGAUUACAUUUUCAGCAAACAAAGUACCUAGAAUUAACUCACACUGUGUCGUGAAUGCUGUAGCAAUGAAUUAGACCUCUUGCCCUCAGCCCAUCUUCUGUUGUAUAGCUAUGUUUUUCUUGCAUCUAAAAGUUUCUAUGAUCUGUUUGAGAUGGAAAGCUGUCUGAUUGUAGCUUUCACUUAUUUGUUUUCCAUUAAAAUACAAAUUUUAUUAACUUUUCUUAAACAAUUGCACAUGACAACCACACCCAAAUCUAUCAUCAUUCCAUUUACCUGCCUACCUAUACUUCUGAUUUAGAUUCUUUUGUUGUUGUUGAAACUGUGGUGAAAUACCAUGAACAAAGGCAACUUAAGCGUCUAUUUUGGCUUACAGUUCCAGACAGGUGCCCCUAAUGGUGGAAAAGAUACGGUGGCCAAAGCCAGAAGCUGAGUAGUCACAUCUCACCUAAACACAGGCAGCAGUGAAAGAGAACAGGAAGUGGGUCAUAGUGGCUAUAAACUGUUCAUGUCCAUCUCCAGUGACAUGCUUCCUCUAGCAAGGCUCUACAUCCCAAAGAUUUCAUAAUAUCCCAAAAAGUUCCACCAGCUUGGGACCAAGCAUCCCAAUACAUGAGCCUGUGGGGGGCAUUUUUCAUUCAAACUACAAUACCAUCUAUAUUAUUGGAUCUAUUUUCCCAUAGAGGCUCUAAAAAGUGGAAAAUCUUCUGAAGUAUUUUAUGCCCAAGAUUCUUGGUACAAGAACACAAUGAAAGGGUGGGGUUGACCAGAGAAUACAAACUCCUAGAUAAUGUACAAGUCCUAACACAAGUGUGCAUCAUAUUUCUAUAUAGUUAAAUGAUUGGCUUGGAUUGGCUUAGUUUGUAUCCUCCAGAUGCAGUUUCUCAAACCAACCUACACUGCAGAGGAAUAGGGCAGAUUCAGCACAAGGCAUAUACAUCCUUGCUGUCCUGUCUGUGGUAGGGGAGGCAGCUGAGAAUUUAGUCUCCCCAGAGUAACUGUGUAAAGACAGCUCCAACAAUUCUCCAAGAAAGAAUAAGUCUAUGUUCUACUUUCACCAGCGUAGAAGACCUGUUGCCACACUUACCAUGAAAAUCGUGUGUGUGUGUGUGUGUUUGACCUCUAGAAUAUUUUCUUCAGUAGAUGAUGAAUGCAUAAACAGAUGACCAAUAAGUGGAUGGAUGGAUGGAAGGCUGGGUGGAUAGAUGGAUGGAUAGACAGCUCUAGUUAUCAGGUAAACUAUGAAUACAUAUAAACUGAACCUUAUUUCCAAAGAACCCUUUAGGGAGCAAGAAACAGGUAGUUUUGGAUUAACACAGGGUAAAAUCAUUUUUGGAAUAAUUUUGAGGAAAAGACAAACAUGCCAUUAAAACAAGACGAGAAUUGAAUUCCUCAGACACCAUUCAUGUAAUGAAAGGGGGGGGUUAAUCACAUUUGAAAGCCUAAAGGUUAUAAUUAAAAUUAUGAAGGGGGCUGAUGGCUUUGGUCCCUGAAUGUCCUGGUAGCUCUAUCAAGCUGAACAAGAAAAGGUAUUUAGUCUUACUCCAUAGUAUAUGAGUACAGGUCAGCUCACAUAGAGCCUCGUCUCUAACGGAAUGUAUCACAAGGUUCUUUUUCCCCCUUUUCUGUGUAUAGUGUUUGUAUGUCUCAUACUGGGAUUGGUUUUAGAGCCUCACACAUGUGAGGCUAUAUCCCUAGUGUGUUGAUCGGUUCUUUUUGUAUCACUUGGGUGAUAGUAUUGGUUGUAGGGUGUUUUUUUUUCCCCAAAAGUGGCCCUAGGAAUUAGAAAAUAAACAAUUCCAUAGAAACAUUGAGAUGCUUAUGUGGAAGUUGAAGUGAUGUCUGGUUUUAUUUGUCUGUUUUUUUCUACCUUCCUUCUCCAUGUUCGUGGGACAGUAUCCUGAUGGCAUGACUUUGACUAUGUUUCUCCUACUCCAGUCUGGAGACUGUUUAAUGGGUGUGUAUGGAGGGGGGAGGGUUGUCUGCUCAUUAACAUGCAAUCCUUUGCUCUAGGUCAGUGGGAGCCCCAAACUAGAUUAAUCCCUGGAGUUGGAAUACUUAGUGC
rnacentral:lncRNA from 1 species